rnacentral:rRNA from 1 species
AUAACAAUGAUUCCCUCAGUAACGGCGAGCGAAGAGGGAUAAGCUCAAAUUUUAAAUCUGUUGGGUUCCACUUUAACAGAGUUGUAUUUUGAAGAAACGUUUUCUGCAUCCAGGAUUAGCCUAAAUCCUUUGGGAUAAGGUAUCAUGGAGGGUGAGAAUCCCGUUCAUGGUUAAUCUUAAGGAAGCUCUACGAUACGUUUUCCAAGAGUCGAGUUGUUUGGGACUGCAGCUCAAAAUGGGAGGUAAAUUUCUCCUAAGGCUAAAUAUUAGCGAGAGACCGAUAGCGAACAAGUACCGUGAGGGAAAGAUGAAAAGAACUUUGAAAAGAGAGUUAAACAGUACGUGAAAUUGUUGAAAGGGAAACGAUUGAAGUCAGUCAUACUAACGGGAAAUCAACCUUUUGAGCUCGGUCUCGUGGGUUUUGAAGAGUUUCAAAGCCUUCGGGUUCGCGAGAUUGGGAUCUCUCGGUGUACUUUCUCGUACGGUUAGUCAACAUCGGUUUUGAAUGUCAUAAAAUGACUGGAGGAAUGUAGCUUCGAUCUCGUAUUGAAGUGUUAUAGCCUUUGGUAGAUGUGAUGUUUGAGACCGAGGAUUGCAACGGAUACCCUUCAGGGCUAUUCGUCUGAUCUCUGAUACGUUGCCCUGAUGUUGAAAGCUUGCUUAUGAUGUUAGGGUAUUACGGUCAAAAGGUUAGAACGAAUUACAUUCGUUAAGGAUGU